UACGUAGGGGGCAAGCGUUGUCCGGAUUUAUUGGGCGUAAAGAGCGUGUAGGCGGCCCGACAGGUCCGUUGUGAAAACUCGAGGCUCAACCUCGAGACGUCGAUGGAAACCGUCGGGCUAGAGUCCGGAAGAGGAGAGUGGAAUUCCUGGUGUAGCGGUGAAAUGCGCAGAUAUCAGGAGGAACACCGGUGGCGAAGGCGGUUCUCUGGGACGGUACUGACGCUGAGACGCGAAAGCGUGGGGAGCGAACAGG
rnacentral:rRNA from 1 species